UACAGAGGGGGCAAGCGUUGUUCGGAAUUACUGGGCGUAAAGGGCGCGUAGGUGGCCUUCUAAGUCGAACGUGAAAUCCCUGGGCUCAACCCAGGAACUGCGUCCGAGACUGGGAGGCUUGAAUCCGGGAGAGGGAUGCGGAAUUCCAGGUGUAGCGGUGAAAUGCGUAGAUAUCUGGAGGAACACCGGUGGCGAAGGCGGCAUCCUGGACCGGGAUUGACACUGAGGCGCGAAAGCCAGGGGAGCAAACGGGG
rnacentral:rRNA from 1 species